rnacentral:rRNA from 1 species
AUGGGGGCAACCCUGAUCCAGCCAUGCCGCGUGUGUGAAGAAGGCCUUUUGGUUGUAAAGCACUUUAAGCAGUGAAGAAGACCUAACGGUUAAUACCCGUUAGCGAUGACAUUAGCUGCAGAAUAAGCACCGGCUAACUCUGUGCCAGCAGCCGCGGUAAUACAGAGGGUGCAAGCGUUAAUCGGAAUUACUGGGCGUAAAGCGAGCGUAGGUGGCUUGAUAAGUCAGAUGUGAAAUCCCCGGGCUUAACCUGGGAACUGCAUCUGAUACUGUUAGGCUAGAAUAGGUGAGAGGAAGGUAGAAUUCCAGGUGUAGCGGUGAAAUGCGUAGAGAUCUGGAGGAAUACCGAUGGCGAAGGCAGCCUUCUGGCAUCAUAUUGACACUGAGGUUCGAAAGCGUGGGUAGCAAACAGGAUUAGAUACCCUGGUAGUCCACGCCGUAAACGAUGUCUACUAGUCGUUGGGUCCCUUGAGGACUUAGUGACGCAGCUAACGCAAUAAGUAGACCGCCUGGGGAGUACGGCCGCAAGGUUAAAACUCAAAUGAAUUGACGGGGGCCCGCACAAGCGGUGGAGCAUGUGGUUUAAUUCGAUGCAACGCGAAGAACCUUACCUGGUCUUGACAUAUCUAGAAUCCUGCAGAGAUGCGGGAGUGCCUUCGGGAAUUAGAAUACAGGUGCUGCAUGGCUGUCGUCAGCUCGUGUCGUGAGAUGUUGGGUUAAGUCCCGCAACGAGCGCAACCCUUGUCCUUAGUUACCAGCGGGUUAAGCCGGGAACUCUAAGGAUACUGCCAGUGACAAACUGGAGGAAGGCGGGGACGACGUCAAGUCAUCAUGGCCCUUACGACCAGGGCUACACACGUGCUACAAUGGUAGGUACAGAGGGCAGCUACACAGCGAUGUGAUGCGAAUCUUUCAAAGCCUAUCGUAGUCCAGAUUGCAGUCUGCACUCGACUCCAUGAAGUAGGAAUCGCUAGUAAUCGCGGAUCAGA